rnacentral:rRNA from 1 species
GCAACUCGACUGCACGAAGCUGGAAUCGCUAGUAAUCGCGGAUCAGCACGCCGCGGUGAAUACGUUCCCGGGCCUUGUACACACCGCCCGUCACACCAUGGAAGUCUGCAAUGCCCGAAGCCGGUGGCCUAACCACUUAUGUGGAAGGAGCCGUCUAAGGCAGGGCAGAUGACUGGGGUGAAGUCGUAACAAGGUAUC